rnacentral:rRNA from 1 species
UACGAAGGGAGCUAGCGUUGUUCGGAAUCACUGGGCGUAAAGCGCACGUAGGCGGAUUUGUCAGUCAGGGGUGAAAUCCCGGGGCUCAACCUCGGAACUGCCUCUGAUACAGCAAGUCUUGAGUCCGAUAGAGGUGGGUGGAAUUCCUAGUGUAGAGGUGAAAUUCGUAGAUAUUAGGAAGAACACCGGUGGCGAAGGCGGCCCACUGGAUCGGUACUGACGCUGAGGUGCGAAAGCGUGGGGAGCAAACAGG